rnacentral:rRNA from 1 species
CCUACGGGAGGCAGCAGUGAGGAAUAUUGGUCAAUGGACGGGAGCCUGAACCAGCCAAGUCGCGUGAGGGAAGACGGUCCUAUGGAUUGUAAACCUCUUUAGGCGGGGAGCAAUGCCGUGCACGCGUGCCCGGAGGGAGAGUACCCGCAGAAUAAGCAUCGGCUAACCCCGUGCCAGCAGCCGCGGUAAUACGGAGGAUGCGAGCGUUAUCCGGAUUUUUUGGGUUUAAAGGGUGCGUAGGCGGAUUUUUAAGUCAGCGGUAAAAUGUCCGGGCUCAACCCGGGCCGGCCGUUGAAACUGGGGAUCUUGAGUGGGCGAGAAGUAUGCGGAAUGCGUGGUGUAGCGGUGAAAUGCAUAGAUAUCACGCAGAACUCCGAUUGCGAAGGCAGCAUACCGGCGCCCGACUGACGCUGAGGCACGAAAGCGUGGGGAUCGAACAGGAUUAGAUACCCCUGUAGUC